CAGCAGCCGCGGGAAUACGAAGGGGGCUAGCGUUGUUCGGAAUUACUGGGCGUAAAGCGCACGUAGGCGGAUAUUUAAGUCAGGGGUGAAAUCCCAGAGCUCAACUCUGGAACUGCCUUUGAUACUGGGUAUCUUGAGUAUGGAAGAGGUGAGUGGAAUUCCGAGUGUAGAGGUGAAAUUCGUAGAUAUUCGGAGGAACACCAGUGGCGAAGGCGGCUCACUGGUCCAUUACUGACGCUGAGGUGCGAAAGCGUGGGGAGCAAACAGGAUUAGAUACCCCAGUAGUCCCUGUCUCUUAUAC
rnacentral:rRNA from 1 species